rnacentral:rRNA from 1 species
UGGGGAAUAUUGCACAAUGGGCGCAAGCCUGAUGCAGCCAUGCCGCGUGUAUGAAGAAGGCCUUCGGGUUGUAAAGUACUUUCAGCGAGGAGGAAGGUGUUGUGGUUAAUAACCACAGCAAUUGACGUUACCCGCAGAAGAAGCACCGGCUAACUCCGUGCCAGCAGCCGCGGUAAUACGGAGGGUGCAAGCGUUAAUCGGAAUUACUGGGCGUAAAGCGCACGCAGGCGGUCUGUCAAGUCGGAUGUGAAAUCCCCGGGCUCAACCUGGGAACUGCAUCCGAAACUGGCAGGCUUGAGUCUUGUAGAGGGGGGUAGAAUUCCAGGUGUAGCGGUGAAAUGCGUAGAGAUCUGGAGGAAUACCGGUGGCGAAGGCGGCCCCCUGGACAAAGACUGACGCUCAGGUGCGAAAGCGUGGGGAGCAAACA